rnacentral:rRNA from 1 species
UACGUAGGGGGCUAGCGUUGCUCGGAAUUACUGGGCGUAAAGGGCGCGUAGGCGGACAGUUAAGUCAGAGGUGAAAGCCCAGGGCUCAACCUUGGAACUGCCUUUGAUACUGGCUGUCUUGAGUUCGGGAGAGGUGAGUGGAAUGCCGAGUGUAGAGGUGAAAUUCGUAGAUAUUCGGCGGAACACCAGUGGCGAAGGCGACUCACUGGCCCGAUACUGACGCUGAGGCGCGAAAGCGUGGGGAGCAAACAGG